UCAUCUAUAAAUAGAUUGUAAGACAAUGGUUUUUUAUCAUCGGAAUCCUUUGAACUAUAGAAAGGGAGAAAAGAUGGUGAGGAAGGAGAAGUUGGUUAUUGUUCUCACCUGGGUCGUGAUAGCCGCAUUAUUUUUGGUGAGCUCAAAUGCUGCUAGCUCUCAGACCGCUGAGUACGUGGUCCAUCCUCAAGGUUGUCGUUGCUGUUUUUUUAUUAUGAAGCCAUUAAUCCGCUGUGGCAAGGUGUGCUGUGGCGACGGAUGCUGUUAGCCAUCACUCAGACUACUGUCAUGUUCAGGAAUUGAGAGGAGCUUUUCUUUUUCUUUUUUAACCCUGUUUUUGAAGACUUUAUUCUUCAAGAGUAAUAAGAACAGGCUAGCUUUUGUGA